rnacentral:lncRNA from 10 species
GGUCUCUGGUAUGCUGUACUCAUUUACAUAAAGUUUAAAAGGGCCACCUUAAUAAGUUGCCACAAAUAUAUAAUUGGAAGUUGUGAUCUAUAUUCCAUGAUAUCUAAAUAUAAGCCAAAAUUUAGGCUCUCUUUAAAAGUUUUUUAUAUAUAUAUUUAAAGGAAUUCUAAUGAGAUAAAGUUUGACUUGAAUUGGAAACAUUACAGGCAUAAAUUUAAAGCCCAUAUUCUUUAUAAAUACUUUACUUUCAUCCAGAUCAGUGGAAGUUAUCUCAUGACUUCAGGUCAUGGCCAACAGUGAUUUCCUGUAAAAGUGGCAUGGUUUGUAAGAUGGACUUUGCCAUGUCUUGGUGGCCUUUUUGUCAUCUUUGGCAUAUGGCUAGUUUCCUGAUUUUCCAUUUCUGUUCUGUUUUAAUAGUGUAUUUGUCCUUCCAGACUAUGAAAAAUCUUUCAAUCAAAUGACCCCAAAACCUCCACCAGGAGUGCUGUGUUGGCAGAUUUCAAGGUUGCGAUACUCUCUGUGAGUGACAGUCAUCAUAACCUUCCCAUGCCUGUUUUGUGUUCUGGAGUGCACAAGUGUGAGAGCUCAGAGACAUGAUGUUUCUGAGGCCUACUGCACACAGGGAAGGCUGAACUAAUCCUGGGCACACGGGGGCUGUGACGAGUCUGGUUAUCAUCCCAUGCUGUUUCUGUUUGGGCUGUAUUGUACUAUUUCCACUGUACUGCCAGUGGAAUCUUUCUGAUGCCAUGGCCACUAGAGUGGCCAGAUUCUCGCUCCCUAGUGUGGAUGAAGAAACUGUGGUUCUGGGGUAUUCAAGAAGCCAUGUCAGGCCGGGCGUGGUGGCUCAUGCCUGUAAUCCCAGCACUUUGGGAGGCUGAGGCGGGCGGAUCACCUGAGGUCAGGAGUUCGAGACUAGCCUCGCCAACAUUGUGAAACCCCAUCUCUACUAAAAAUACAAAAAUUAGCCGAGUGUGGUGGCACGUGCUUGUACUUCCAGCUACUCUGGAGACUGAGGCAGGAGAAUCACUUGAACAGGGAGGCAGAGGUUGCAGUGAGCCAAGAUUGACCCACUGCACUCCAGCCUGGGCAACACAGCAAGACUCUGUCUCAAACAAAACAAAAUAAAACAAACAAACAAAAAAAGAGAGGAGCCAUCUCAUUCCACAUGGAAUCUGUGCCACUUCACAAUUUUUUGUGCUGCAUUUUGGCCAGCGAACUUUCCUUUAUUCUCCUCUAAAGGAUGUUAAGUUCUCACCAUACACACAUACAGAUGGUAGCUAUGUGUAGGGCUGGAGAUAUUGAUUAAUUUGAUUGUGGUAAUCAUUUCACAAUGUAUAUGUAUAUCAAACCAUCACAUUGUAUACCUUGAAUAUGUAAAAUUUUAUUUGUCAUUUAUACCUCAAUAAAACUGGGGAAAAAGAUGUUUA